GAAAGAUGAAUAAAUUCAAACAAAGCUUUUGUAAAGAGGGAGGAAAAGGGGAAUGGGGAGAAUAAGAAUCGAGUUCUAUCAUAUACAGGAGGGAAGGCGGCCUAGAAACGUCCUCCAGGUGAUGAUGGUUCUGUCAUCCAUCUGACCUCGGCCAGAGGUUGUUUAAAGACUGAUGGAAUGUUCUUUGAUGGGAUCCAGCACCCUUUUGCUGCUAGAAACUGUCCUUCCGGCCUGCUUUUUGGCAUUUUCCUGCUGAGACGGAAUCUUCUGCUGCCCACGAGCCACAGCCGGGCCGGGGCAGUCUUGCGUCCCGGCGGCAGCGCAGCGCGGGGCCCGGAGCUGGCGGAGGAAGGGCGGGCAGUGCGCCCAGCGCCGCUUCGCCGCCCGCCUGCACGAGUCGAGAAGGGGCAGGAGGACCGCGGAGAGCACAGCAGCCCGCGCCCCGCACGCACACCCGCUGCCACCGCCCCGCGCCCGCCCGCAGCCUGAGCCUCAGGCCGG